GGGUUUCUUCACUGGAGCCUCUCCGGCGGCUGAGAGGCUUUUUCAAUCUGAAUUUAUUCCAAAUUGGACUUGUUUGCCUAACAUUGAGAGCUCCCGCGGUUAUUGCUCAACUAUGUACAGUGGUUCCAGUGAUGGCGAAGGCCACGACGCCCCGCAACGGAAGAUCCCUCCAGCUUCGUCUAUGCCGUGGGUCAGGAACCUCCG
rnacentral:misc_RNA from 1 species